UAACGCGAAGAACCUUACCUACCCUUGACAUGCCUGGAAUCUUGCAGAGAUGUGAGAGUGCUCGAAAGAGAGCCAGGACACAGGUGCUGCAUGGCCGUCGUCAGCUCGUGUCGUGAGAUGUUGGGUUAAGUCCCGCAACGAGCGCAACCCUUGUCAUUAGUUGCUACGAAAGGGCACUCUAAUGAGACUGCCGGUGACAAACCGGAGGAAGGUGGGGAUGACGUCAGGUCCUCAUGGCCCUUAUGGGUAGGGCUACACACGUCAUACAAUGGCCGGUACAGAGGGCUGCCAACCCGCGAGGGGGAGCCAAUCCCAGAAAACCGGUCGUAGUCCGGAUCGCAGUCUGCAACUCGACUGCGUGAAGUCGGAAUCGCUAGUAAUCGCGGAUCAGCUUGCCGCGGUGAAUACGUUCCCGGGUCUUGUACACACCGA
rnacentral:rRNA from 1 species